GAAACGACUGCUAAGACUGGAUAGGAGAUAAGAAGGCAUCUUUUUAUUUUUAAAAGACCUAGCAAUAGGUAUGCUUAGGGAAGAGCUUGCGUCACAUUAGUUAGUUGGUGGGGUAAUGGCCUACCAAGACGAUGAUGUGUAGCCGGGCUGAGAGGUCGAACGGCCACAUUGGGACUGAGACACGGCCCAAACUCCUACGGGAGGCAGCAGUAAGGAAUUUUCGGCAAUGGAGGAAACUCUGACCGAGCAAUGCCGCGUGAACGAUGAAGUAUUUCGGUACGUAAAGUUCUUUUAUUAGGGAAGAAAAGAUGGUGGAAAAACCAUUAUGACGGUACCUAAUGAAUAAGCCCCGGCUAACUAUGUGCCAGCAGCCGCGGUAAUACAUAGGGGGCAAGCGUUAUCCGGAAUUAUUGGGCGUAAAGGGUGCGUAGGCGGUUAAAUAAGUUUAUGGUCUAAGUGCAACGCUCAACGUUGUGAUGCUAUAAAAACUGUUUAGCUAGAGUUGGAUAGAGGCAAGUGGAAUUCCGUGUGUAGUGGUAAAAUGCGUAAAUAUACGGAGGAACACCAGAAGCGAAGGCGGCUUGCUGGGUCUUAACUGACGCUGAGGCACGAAAGCGUGGGGAGCAAACAGGAUUAGAUACCCUGGUAGUCCACGCCCUAAACGAUGAGUACUAAACGUUGGAUAAAACCAGUGUUGAAGUUAACACAUUAAGUACUCCGCCUGAGUAGUACGUACGCAAGUAUGAAACUUAAAGGAAUUGACGGGACUCCGCACAAGCGGUGGAUCAUGUUGUUUAAUUCGAAGGUACCCGAAAAACCUCACCAGGUCUUGACAUGCUUUUGCAAAGCUGUAGAAAUACAUUGGAGGUUAUCAGAAGCACAGGUGGUGCAUGGUUGUCGUCAGCUCGUGUCGUGAGAUGUUGGGUUAAGUCCCGCAACGAGCGCAACCCUUGUUGUUAAUUGCCAUCAUUAAGUUGGGGACUUUAGCAAGACUGCCAAUGAUAAAUUGGAGGAAGGUGGGGACGACGUCAAAUCAUCAUGCCCCUUAUGACCUGGGCUACAAACGUGAUACAAUGGCUGUUACAAAGGGUAGCUAAAGCGUAAGCUUCUGGCGAAUCUCAAAAAAGCAGUCUCAGUUCGGAUUGAAGUCUGCAACUCGACUUCAUGAAGUUGGAAUCGCUAGUAAUCGCGAAUCAGCAUGUCGCGGUGAAUACGUUCUCGGGGUUUGUACACACCGCCCGUCAAACCACG
rnacentral:rRNA from 1 species